UGGGGGCUCUGAGCUCGGGGUGAUCUGUGCAGGUAGGUUGGGGUGGAGGUCUCUAGGGCUCCUGGGUGACACGAUGCCGAACUGUGGGUUUAUAUAGUCAGAAGCCACCCCGCCUCCCGACCAAAGUAUUCCCAGCUGUGGGGUCAGGUCAAGCUGGGGGAAUGAAGGAGGGGGAGAGAGCAGAGAGAAGGCCAAGGCAGUUGCAGCCAGGAAUAGCUCUAGGGGGAGGGGCCUUGAUAGCCCCCUGAGGAGUCAGCUUCUGGGCCGCCCCUGGUAAGCACUGAAGAUCCUUUGGCCCCCGAGUGCUCCAGCUCUGAGGGUACCCAAGAGGUGAGCCUGGAGGACAUUUGGUCCUGGGAGAAGGCAUCGUGUCCCAGGAAAAUUGUCCCUCAUAUGUCCACCCAAGAACCUUGCAAUGAACUCAGUGUUCUAGUCAAACUGGACUUAGAGCUCUUCCCCAAACUCAAGUUUCCUCCUUCCACCUCCCACGACUGGGCAGUCACACAAAUCUUCCCUCAUGAUUGGAAUAUUUUCCCUCCUCGACCCUACACCUUAUGAAAAUGUGAGCUUCUCCCACUGAUGAAGAACAGCAGAGAGGGGAUGGAUUCAAGGCACAGAAAGAGAUGCACAUUUGGGGGCAUGGACAAUAUGGGGAUUUUCUUUUGCUUUUGCUUUACAUGCAUUUUUUCAUUUUUGUUACAAAGGUUUUCUUUUUAUUUACUUAUUUUUUCAGUAGGACAGAGGAUUUGGGAGGGGAAAAUGAAUGCUUGAUAACUGAAAAAUAAUGAAAUUUCAUUUGAAAAAUCCAUAUUGGGGUGGCUAGGUGGUGCAGUGGAUAAAGCACCAGCCCUGGAUUCAGGAGGACCUGAGUUCAAAUCUGGCCUCAAACACUUGACACUUACUAGCUGUGUGACCCUGGGCAAGUCACUUAACCCUCAUUGCCCCACAAAAAAGAAAAGAAAAGAAAAGGAAAAAGAAAAAAAUCCCUACUAUAAUACACUUUUAAAAAGGGAUGUAGCUCUUCAGUGACUACAUCAAUGUAAACAGAAAGGACCACACCACAAGACAUCACAAAAUAACUGAAGAUGAUUGCUGGGAAAUGAUGAAGAAGAAAGAAGAGAUGUGAGAAAACAUACCCCUGCCCAACCUUCUUUGCAAAUGUAUCAGGGUGGGGGAGAUGGAUGGUAUGGAAUGUAUAUAAUAGAUUUUUUUUCUAUGUAUGUAUCGGUUUGGCUGAUUGUCCCCCUUCCUCUUUGUUAUUCUUAAAAAAAAAAUCUUUAUUAUGAGUGAUGGCUCUCUGAGGAGAGAGAGAGGGAGGGAUGGGGGAGGAAUCUGGGCCACAUUAAAAUAAAAGAUUAAAAAAAGA